GGAACAGGGGUUAAUGGUAACGCUCUUUCUUUGUGUUAGGGUACCGUUGCAUGCCCAUUCGUACACAAGAAUGGUUACUCACACCAACAAAGGGGAUGAACUUCUGUGCCGAUUCUUCAUCUGGGCUAAAAGAGUGAAGAGUCAUAGUGAGUUUGAAGGCUGGAGGCCAGUGAUUCUCUGAAUAUAUCAAGCAUGCAGGACAAGGAAAAAUACGCAAGCUUGGACGUCUUCAUACUACCUGGACGUUUUUCUGUCACAAACCAUGCAGGACGGGAAUGAGUGGGCGCCCCUGGAGGCACACACCCACGCGCACGCACGCACACGUGGGCAUGCCCUGCCUUCGACCCUGGCGUCCCUAGCACAUGUCUGGACACAGCGGAAAUGACACACAUGGCUUCCCACCUCCAUGGCUGCAGGUCACUUACAAGGAGGCUUGGUGGUUUUUGCCUGCAAUGCCUGAUCAAAACCAAUCACCCUGCUAAAGUAAGAGCCAAGCUGUGGACCAUGAAGUAUCUGAGAACGAAGGGACCGACAGCAGGUGUUGAUCUUGAUGCACUUCUGGGACAAAUCUAAUUCUGGAGAGAGCACAGAAAGACCCGACAUACAGGGGAAGGAGCUGCAAACCCAUUACGUUCCACUAACUCAACAUGUCACACAACAGAACUGCACAUUUUCCCAAGGGAUCUGAAAGUAAAAUCACUGUGAGAUAUGUUUAUAAGGACCAGCUCUUGGUGAGCAAGCUUCUGAGUUGCACAGAACCCUUCUUCAGACUAGGCGUAACAAAGGGGGAUUCGUUUUUGGAAAAUCUCCACAUUCGUGUUUAACGGAAACUCUCCACGGUCUGCCGUCGGUAGGUCUGCGGCUGUUGAAAAAGAACUCAAGGAACCAGCAGAUGCUUGCUUCCAGACAGAGCCCGCUGGCAGAGCUUCCUUCUACAAAGUCACGUUCCUUUGUGCACAAACCGAUGCCAACGUGAGCAUUUCAGUUCUCCAUUGCGUGAGCUGCCCUGAGAGGCUUUGGCUGAGAAGCGCAGCAUGUAAGUGCCGCAAAUAAAGACGUGUAUUUAACAGAAAAUAAACCCCACUGUAAUCCCGAUAGCCUGUCAUGCACUGCUCACCGGCCCCCCGUGGCUCACUGCCAAGGCACGUUAGGUUGUCGUGAUGUGCAAACCAUCCUUUAGGCUGGCUGGGCACAAGCGACCAGAAACGGCUUCCUGGUAAGUAAUGGGAAGCAGGAGCGAAGGACUGAAACAGGCCUACUCCGGUUUGAGAGCGGACUCCCGAGACUUUGGGCAGGGGUCUUUGCUCCCCCUUUUUCCUGGAACUUCUGCUAACAGGGACUGGAAACAAAACAGGUGCCGCUCCCUAACGUCAGCCAUCAAUUUAACCAAGUGGAUUUAGGCUACUGCAUUUUAGCUCAACAACUGGACGCAACAAUAGAAGUAGAAGAUUUGAACAUGCUUGCCGUUGCUUCAAACUAACCAGAACCUUCCAUUAUGUACAAUAGAGCAAUUCUGUCUCGAAAGUAUCCGUCUUUGCCACUGCUUGGAGAAGAAACUGUCCCACAGCCCUUUUUCUGCAACUUCCGUCAUCUUACAAGAGCAAAGGUGCAGAAGGGUUUGUGAACAUAGAGCUACUGGGAUUUUUAAGGAGUCAGACAGGAAGCGCAACCUACCUCCUCCUUAAUGCCAGGUUACCAGAGUUUGACACCAGGAGGCAAACGACAGUCGUGAAGUUUCCCACACACGCGAUACAUUUAUGAAAGCUCACGUCGUUCGGAAACUUUUGCACCGUAAGGAGGAGAACCGUCUCCAAGUGUCAAAGGAAAAGGUCAAAGCCAGGCUCCGGCGCUAGGAGCAAAGCAGAACAGAAUGGGCAGCUGCCAUCGCGCUGCGGUGUCCACCGCGGAAGGAACGGGCUCGGGGAAGCAAGAGACUGCUAGUUUACCUAGUGGAAUGAUGAGGAACCUCAUGUAGCUGAGCCAGUCCGGGGUCUUGUGAGACAGCUGCUGGACGAAGAGCCUCAG